rnacentral:rRNA from 1 species
ACAUGCAAGUCGAGCGAACAGAUAGGAGCUUGCUCCUUUGACGUUAGCGGCGGAGGGUGAGUAACACGUGGGUAACCUACCUAUAAGACUGGAAUAACUCCGGGAAACCGGGGCUAAUGCCGGAUAACAUUUAGAACCGCAGGGUUCUAAAGUGAAAGAUGGUUUUGCUAUCACUUAUAGAUGGACCCGCGCCGUAUUAGCUAGUUGGUAAGGUAAUGGCUUACCAAGGCAACGAUACGUAGCCAACCUGAGAGGGUGAUCGGCCACACUGGAACUGAGACACGGUCCAGACUCCUACGGGAGGCAGCAGUAGGGAAUCUUCCGCAAUGGGCGAAAGCCUGACGGAGCAACGCCGCGUGAGUGAUGAAGGGUUUCGGCUCGUAAAACUCUGUUAUUAGGGAAGAACAAACGUGUAAGUAACUGUGCACGUCUUGACGGUACCUAAUCAGAAAGCCACGGCUAACUACGUGCCAGCAGCCGCGGUAAUACGUAGGUGGCAAGCGUUAUCCGGAAUUAUUGGGCGUAAAGCGCGCGUAGGCGGUUUCUUAAGUCUGAUGUGAAAGCCCACGGCUCAACCGUGGAGGGUCAUUGGAAACUGGGAGACUUGAGUGCAGAAGAGGAAAGUGGAAUUCCAUGUGUAGCGGUGAAAUGCGCAGAGAUAUGGAGGAACACCAGUGGCGAAGGCGACUUUCUGGUCUGUAACUGACGCUGAUGUGCGAAAGCGUGGGGAUCAAACACGAAUUAGAUACCCUGGUAGUCCACCCCCGUAACGAUGAGUGCUAAGUGUUAGGGGUUUCCGCCCCUUAGUGCUGCAGCUAACGCA